AUAUGGGCAUGGGACCAUAUACACCCGAUCGAGUUGGAGCUCCACCGGAUCUCCAUGAUUGUCCAUUGGGUUGUCGGUGGAACAUGGGAUUGCGAUUUCGUGGAAAUGUCAGGGCGACUGACAUUGAGUUUUAUCGCGAUGAACUAGAUCAGCAGAAGGAGUCACAAGUUACAUGGAUGCCCUAUACAGAGGAUGUUUUGAACUGUCUUCCUGCAUUGUCUCGAGGGCUCUGCAGUCUGGCGUUCGAGAACUUGUUUAAUAUGCUAUCAUAUUGUCGAGCUACAUAUACCUGAUCGAGUUCUGCGUCAGUUUGGAUUGCUGCAGCAUAUACCGGAGCCCGUAGAAGCUAUACAGAGGAUCACCUCGCAGGGUAGAUCAAGCAAGGACUGGGCAGUAUUUCAUGCUCCAUAUAUUCAACAUUGGGCAGAUCGUCUGAAGCAUAUUGCAGAGCAAAGUCCUUUCAUCGAUUCAGAUCCGAUACGAGCCACCUCUGUGUACAUGCAGUGGUAUUGGGGGAUCACAAGGAGGUGGAUUUCUCGUCCUGUACAGCAGCCUCCACUUACUUUUCUGCCGCGUGGGAAUGUCAAGAGACGAUUAGUAAGAUUAUUUUAUUUUAUAGUUUAUUUCAAUAUAAGGAUAUUCAUUAUAUAUAAUCAUGUAUGUUUAUACAGGUGUAUGCUAUGCGGCAUGCUUUUAGCAGUAUUGGUCAUUUGAUGGAUGAUCCUCCGGAGCCCACUAGAAUGAUGGAUGCUCUAGCACAUGUGAGAUGGGAUCUCGAGAGUGUUAGAAAGCCUACCGACAUUACCCGUGACAGGGCAUUCAGAUGUUUCUUCUCCGACUUUUGGUGAUUACGAUGAUAUUCCCUCCACGUCAACGCCUGCAUAUGAUUUCGGUGAUAUUCCCUCCACCUCGAUGCCUGCAUAUGAUUUCGAUGAUAUUCCCUCCACCUCGAUCCCUGCGUAUGAUUUUCCAUCGACAUCUAUCCCAAUUCAUCCAUUUGAUGUCCCUUCGACUUCUGAUGUCCCUUCGACAUCAGAAGUGCAGUUUGAUAUUCCGUCGGCAUCCAUCCCUCCAUUUGAUAUUCCAUCUACGUCAGAGGUUCGUCGUGAUGAUGUUGUAUAUCGACAUAGACGACAAUGACAGGGUCAUAUUGAGACGCAGGAAGGGAUACUACCAUCAGCUGUUGAGCAAGGGAUGGUGCCGAUUGUCGAGGGCAUCGCCAUCGAGCAUAUUGAUCAGAUGGAUGUCAUUGAGCCCGUGCAGCCUGAGAUGGAGCAUGACAUACAUAUUCGAGGACGGAGUCGAGGACGCGGUCGUAGACGCGGACGUGGACGUGGCAGGGGACGAGGGCAAGAGCAUAGGAGGGGGAUGGAGGGGACUUGAUUUUUUUUUUUUAUCA